CUUCUCCCCAGACCCCACUCUUGUUUCUUGGGAUCGCUUUCUGCAUAAACUACCUGCACUCAAGCCAUUUCCUCGGCCUCUGCUUUGGGAGAGGAAGGAAGAAAUCAAGACUAGGACAAGAGUAAAGGUGGAGUGUAUGUCCCAGUCCUUUGAAUCUGGGCUCUCUGACUUCUUGACGAAUGGAAUAUAGCAGAAAUGAUGCUGUGACAAUUCCUGGGCUCAGACCUGAAGAAAUUGGCAGCUUCUAUUUCUUGUCUCAGGGAGGACACAGCCUCUUGGAACCUGGCCACCACAUGGAGGCAAUGUGUGCAACUUCCAAAUGACAAUUUCCAAAUGGUCUAAGCAAAUCAAAUAACUCAUUCUGUUUGGCUGUGAUUUGAGUAGAAGUAGAUAAUGUAACUACUUAUGGCCAAUAAGAUGGAAGAAGAAUUCUGCUGGGGCAUUUGGGUAAGAUUUUCCACACUGAAGAGUACUACCAGAAAAAAGAAAGCCUUCCUGAUGCCCUUUGUCUUUCUCAGGGCAAUGUCUGUGACAAUGUGAUGGUUGGAGCUGAGGCCGCCAUCUUGCGUGCAUGAGGACAGACAUCUCUCAUUUUGAAGAAGACAGAUGAGAAGGGAAGAAAGUGCCAAGCUGUCAUUGCUUUCUUGAGUUUCCCAACCAAUCCUGAGACUACCUGACAACAAGAUUCUUAAAUAAAUAAUAACCCUCUUGAUGAAUUUGAUCAGCGUUUAUUCAGGUAUUUGGAUGGAUGAAUUUGAAUUUAGCAAACUACAGAUGAGAAGGAAACAGCAGGACCAUUCCUAACACUUGUGGGACCCAGAGCAAGCUAGGAACAAUGACCCGCAAAUCACAUACUAAAUAUUUACCAGUUAAAAAUUAAGGUAUAAACUGCUAAGUUAAAUGUGUUCUGUCCUCAUGCCUUGGAAAAUAGUAUGCCAUCAUAACAACCUGAGAAGACAAAUUGCAAUUUUGAGUGUUUGAACUCCUUUUGGGGCAUUGUGCUGGAACAUGGUGAUACAAGAAGAUCCUAGUUCCAGUCCCUGAUCCAUGGGUGGGCAUCUUCCCUUCCCAUUCCCCAGCUCUGUCCUACCUGUGAGAUGUCUUGAGAGAACAUAUUCAGACACUUUAGCCUGCAAGUUCAAAUGUCAUCCAAUUCUCCCAUACUUCCAAUAGACAUACUCGGCUCCCCUGUGGACACCAAGGUAUGCAGAGCUGUGGAAGGAUGGACCGGGGAAAAGGCACACAUGGCUCUGAAACCAAAUCAUGGCCCAUUAGAAAGAAAUGUCAGAGUCCUGGGCACCUGAAGAACAGCCUGAACAAAACAGCUUGGAACUUUGAAACACAGCAGGAGAGAGGCCUUCAAAUGCAUGUGGCUUUUUGUAGGGGCUCUUCCUGACUGAGUCUAAGGUGAUACUGAGAAACAGUCUGUCAAGGGAAGAUGUUCACCCAAACAUCACCAGGAGACAGGCUGAAAUCUUAAAACCUCAGCAGCAUGUUGGUCCCCAGAAGUAUUUACAAAGUAGCUCUUCCCUUUUUCAUCUUAUUUGUAAGAUUCGAACUUCAGUGAUUUUCAGCAAAUGACGAGAAGUUGUUCUUAGAUGUAAAUCCACAGAGAUGGAUUUAUCAAGAAGCCAAUGAAGCUGAAGCUCAAGGCUUCUCACUGGCACAGGUUCUGAGGAAGAGCCUCGACAACAUAUUCACACAAUACGGAGGCAGCCAUCUUGUGAACAAGAGGGCAGACAUCAUCAUCUGAAGAUGGCAGAAUGUAUUUUUGUAAUACGUAAAGUAACUGGCAGAACCCACACCUUCAAAACAGAGACUUUGGCUGCAUCUGGCCUCCUGCUCUGUCUUCCUCUCACCUCCUCCACCUCCAUGUCACCUACUGAGGGAUCGCUUGAGAACACCAGAAUUUCAGAAGACAGAGUUUGAACAUCACUGACCUUUACCAUCGGUAUAACCAACUCUUUACCUCCCAAGGCUCGCUCAUUUGUACUUAUUUUUUCUCAUGUCUCUCAAAUUUAGCCAACUGGUAUGAAUAAACUGGAA
rnacentral:lncRNA from 10 species